GAUCCACAGCGCAUCCUGCCGGUGGAAGAGACGUUCGUGCCGCUUCUUGCCCGGCUCCUCCGCGCCUCGGGGGCUGCCAGGAUCCCCAGUCUCGGAGCCUCUGGCACCGGCGGCGCCGGCCGCGGCCGCAGACGGAGAAGGCGGCGGCGGAGGCACCGACUCGAGCUUAACCAGGGUCAGCGAGAUGAGGACCUCAAAGAAAAGAAGGUAGAUGAGGAACUGAAGGAGACAAUGAAGAUGGUACUUGGGCUGGUGAGCUUGUUGCUCAUUGGAGUGGCUGCUUGGGGCAAGGGCCUGGGUCUGGUGUCCAGCAUCCACAUCAUCGGCGGAGUCAUUGCUGUGGGAGUCUUCCUUCUCCUUAUUGCAGUGGCUGGACUGGUGGGUGCUGUCAACCACCACCAAGUCCUGCUGUUCUUUUACAUGAUCAUCCUUGGUUUGGUCUUCAUCUUCCAAUUUGUAAUCUCUUGCUCAUGUCUGGCUAUUAACCGAAGCAAACAGACAGAUGUCAUCAAUGCUUCUUGGUGGGUCAUGAGCAACAAGACUCGGGAUGAACUGGAAAGAAGUUUUGAUUGUUGUGGCUUAUUCAACCUCACAACCCUGUAUCAACAAGAUUAUGAUUUCUGCACUGCAAUCUGCAAGAGCCAGAGCCCCACAUGCCAGAUGUGUGGAGAAAAG
rnacentral:sRNA from 1 species